ensembl:lncRNA
CUGGAGACAUUGAAUAACACGGGGCUUGUGCAGCCAGCUCUGUGCAGUUCAUGCCUCCAGAUUUCCUAGUAUUUGUUCUCCUGCUCUGGGAAGAGUUGAGAGCUGCAAGAGGCCCAGCUCGCAGGGAUGUUUAGAGAAAGGAAAGUCCAUUGUGUGAAAGACUUUGGUAUUUCAGGGUUUGUUUUCCUUCUGACACAGAACAAAACACCACCAUGUCAAAACCCUCCGUAAGGCAAAACAGAACAAAACAAAAAAAAAACCAAACACCCCAAACCAACCAACCAAACAAAAAAACCCCAACAAACAGUGGUGUUCAGUUUUCACAUGGUCUGUGGAAGCAUUUUGCCUUCACUUUGGGGCUUUUCAAUCUCAAGUCUCAAGAUACCUACUAUUGUAGCUAAUUCAGAAAAAGAAAAAAAAGAAAAAAAAAAGAAAAAAGAAGCAAAAUCCACACCAGAGCAGAAAGGGGGAGCCUUUCCCUGUGCCAGGAUCUGACCCUGCUGCAGUGGGUUUUCUCUGCAGUGGCCCCGGGAUCAAAGCAGCUCCCCUCCUCCUACCCUAGAUGGGAUGCGUAGCUGCAAAGGAACCUCUAAGUUUUAAGUGGGAAAACCAGGGAAAGGGCAGCGCAGCAACCCUGUACGACACCAGCAGAGCUGCUUUGCACCAUCUUUCCUCGAGCAGAGGCACUCGGGCAAAGCAGUCCAGAAAUUUCAGAAAGGUUGGACGUAAGGGUUGGCUCCCAGCAACGAAACGGGGGGAAGGUCACUGCUCCGGGUGAUGUUUUGGGUCAGACCCUGCAAACUGCUUUCACAUCGAGAGCUCCCAGCCCGGCUCUCCCUGGACGGGCUCGCGUCUCCCCUCAAGCUUUCAGCCCCUGGGAGCCUGGUGAGUGCUGGUGCUCGGACGAGUCUCCCCCGCGGGGCAGUCCCGGGUGCCGAUGCCUUCACCGGCGGCAGGGAGCAGCUCCACACCAGUUCUCCCUCCGUGAGCGCUGGCAUCGAGCCCGGCCGCCUUUCACUGCUGCCUUUUCAUUCGCCUUAAUUCACUGCGUUUCCUUUCUUGCUGCUUGCGAGGAACAGAGGGAGAGCUUGUUCCAGCAGACGGGCCCCAUCCGCUCCACCCGGCUCUUGCUGGAGCGAGGGCUGGAAAAGAGGGAUGGAGGCGAAGGGGUAUCUCCCACCCCUCCGGGGCCCCGCGUGCCGCCUGCGCGCCGCUUCCCAGCAAAUACGGGUGCUAGAACACUACCUCAGCCAUUGGAAGAUUGUGACAUGGAGGAGGAAACCUGGAGCCAGUAACACUGAGAUCAUCAGCUGGAUUGUGCCAGAUGUGACAGAGGAGGCUGGAAAACCUCAGGUAACCACUUGGACCACAUUCAACCAACUUCCUGUGGAAUCUCAUAAAGCCUUAAACACUGGUGGGGCUGGGAACUGCUGUGAGCAGUGUCAUCCAGAACAGUGACGGACCCCAGGGUGCUCUGCAGCCAGUGGGGAGCUGCAGGACUCCCCUCAAACCACCCUUAGAUAGUGCUUUUAUUUCUUACCACUGAUGAGGUAGAGAACUAAGGGCCUGGCAGCCCUGGAAAUGCAAAAUUCCUGAUGUAACCAUGGUUUUCAUGAUAACAGUAGGUGCUGAGUCUGUAACAAGCCCCAUUGAUGGCAGUUUGGGGAGAGCCCUUGGUUUUACAGUGCUGUGUCUGGUGGGCAAAUUUCUCCCAACCCUACGUGGUUACCAGUUCUCCCUGAUGUUUGCAGCUGGAAAACUGCAAAGAAAAAAUUUGGGGCUAUGGCACCUUCCCUUAACAUCAGCUGGAGACACUCAGGGGAGCAGCCUGAGGGCAGCCAGGUGCCUGUCAAAGAGGAGAAGGCCAUUGGAGAGGAUACAUGCAAGAAAGCUGCAAGUAUUGCACUUAUUUUACUGGAUAUAAGUGCACUGAGGGGCUGUAGAGAUCCCCCUUUCCAUCUCUGUUGGAAUUGAAGAGAGCAAUAAUUUUACUGUUAGUUCUGAAAAGCAUCACACGGAGGUUUUCCCUACUAAGGGCAAAAGUUGGAGAGGGUCCCCAGGGCAUUGUGACUUCCCUAAUGCCUCCUGCCUGGCUGAGCAGAGCUGCCCUGCUCCUUUCCCCCAACCUCUGACCAAGGCAGGGGGUCUCACACAUGACAGAUUUCUCUCAGCCCUACAUGGUGGCAAGUUCUCCCUGAUGUUUGCAGCUGUAAAACUGCAAAAAAAAAGAGUCCCAUAGUGCAGCAUCUUAACCCAUUUACUAUGAAAUAAGACAAUUAAGGACCGGAAACACUU